rnacentral:lncRNA from 1 species
GGCCCUCCAGGCAGAAACGAAGCCUAAACGUUCGUUUCUUUAAUAACUUCGCAACGGCUCGACGAAUCGCCGAACCGUCUUCGCCAACGCGUUCGUUUACCUAGCAAUUAGGUUUACAAAGGGUCAAAUGAGAUCAAACCCUCAUAUUUACAAAACUAGCAUUUUUGAGCCAUAGAUACAAUUAACCUCCAAAUAAUCCAAAUUAAAUGGAGCAACAUACUAGUAAUGCUCAUUAGAGGCUAUUAGAACACUUAAAGCUAAGGAUUAAGCCAAAUCCGAAAAUCUUACCACUAUGUGAACGCCGCGACGAAAACACAUCGUUGCAACGGCCGCACGAAAGCCCGAACCGACGCCUCCAACGCGUUCGCAAGCUCGCUCUCCACCAACCGUCAAAUUUUUAGAGAGAGAUUUGGAGAGAUGAGACAAAAAUCUAGAGAGAGGUAGAGGUGUUUCUCUCUCUAUCUCCAUGAGUGUGCGUGUGUGUGUGGCGUGUGUGCGGCUGAAGGAGAAGAAGAAGACAACAAGUCUUCUUAUAUAAUUAACACCCCAAAACACUAUUCACUCCAGGCAGUUUUUGCAGUUCGGAACAGUUGGAGCCCUUCUGAAUGUCCGUUUGAGCUCAAAUUUGACAGGCAAGCUCAGUUUAACGUACUGAGUAAGAAUAUAUUUUAAGUUUUCAGUUUUGACCCCAUUUGGUCACCAAAAACUGUACCGAACUGUAAUCUUUAUCAGAUAGCUGUCGGAUUUUAUUUCUCACUCUACGGGUGUCAGAAAAAUAUGAAACUUUAAAUCUAGCCUCAUAAAAAUAUUUCUGACUUAUCGUCCAAAUUUUAUAAUUUUCUGAGACUGUGCAUUUUCUGCUAAUUUAUCUGUCCCGUUUCCAACAGAAAAUUCUAGAUCUUCUGUUUUCAUUCCGAUUUCAGCACAAGUCACUUCUGACUUAUGUUUUACUCCUAUAAAUCCAAUAAAAAUAGUUUCUCACACUAUUUUUAUUUAUUUUUAUUUUUAUACCAAAAUCUGGUAUGUUACACCGAGCUAGCUACGCGACACUCUUGCCGCGAUCCCGUACCUCCGCCGGUGCUGAAGGCUCUGAAAA